CAGCCGCCGCGGGAAUACGUAGGGUGCGAGCGUUAAUCGGAAUUACUGGGCGUAAAGCGUGCGCAGGCGGUUAUAUAAGACAGAUGUGAAAUCCCCGGGCUCAACCUGGGACCUGCAUUUGUGACUGUAUAGCUAGAGUACGGUAGAGGGGGAUGGAAUUCCGCGUGUAGCAGUGAAAUGCGUAGAUAUGCGGAGGAACACCGAUGGCGAAGGCAGCCCCCUGGGCCAAUACUGACGCUCAUGCACGAAAGCGUGGGGAGCAAACAGGAUUAGAUACCCCCGUAGUCCCUGUCUCUUAUAC
rnacentral:rRNA from 1 species